CACUGGGAACCCCGCUGGGCAGCUCCCAUUGGCUGAGCCUGCGGACCCCACCUAGAAUCUGGGGGCGGGGUUCGCUCGCCCAUGGACCAAUUACAGAUGGAGGCGGGGCGAGAGUGGGGAGGGUAGGAGAGAGGCUGGAGCAGGCCAGCUUCCUCCUUGCAGUAGGUUACUGAGGGGGAUUCAGAAGCUCCAGUGUUGCGGGGACCUCCGACCUGGGUGGUAUACAGAAAGGCCUAAACUUUGGAGUGUCAAUAUUUUGUCCAAAGCAAAAGAGCGAGUAGGUCUCUAGGGACUGAAGACUGUGUCAGCUCAAACCCAGGAUGCAUCUACCUUAAGAGUUUCAGUGCCAAUUGAGGCCCAACCAUCAUCUCUGCUUGGGGGAGGAGGAACAAGGGAUCACCCUCUGACCAUUUAGAAGGAUAAAUUUAGCACUACAGGAGAUAAUAAAUUUAUGGGAUCAUCAGAAAUAGCUACUAAAGAAAGCUGGGAUAUAAUAAUGAAAGAACAUUUUAAGGUUUGCACAGCAUUCUGUCUACUUCAUUUCAUCUCACUGGACCCUGCCAACAAUCCUGAGAGAUAGGUGCUAUGCUAUUAUUAUUGUUAUUAUUAUUAAUCAGCCCAUCAACAAACAUUUAAGAACUUACUGUGCUCUAAUCAGUAUGCUAAGCAAUUGGGAUUAAAAAUAAAAAAGCAAAAGCAAAAGACAGUCCUACCCUCAAGGAACUUCCAAUAUAAUAGGGGAGACAUUAAGCAAACCAGGUGUACAAACUAACAGAGGGAAAGGACUAAAGUGAAGGGGAAUUAGAGAAGGCAUUAUUAUUUUACUAAUGAGGAAAUGGGUUCAGAGAAAUUUCAUAACUUGCUAAUUGUACAUAGCUUGUAAGUAUCUGAGUUUCAUGACCAUAUUCAACCUCUAAGGUUGAUGUCUGUGAAGAUAUUCAUGUCCAACUAUAUCCCUUAGGGUCUCCUUAGGUAACAGAACA